AUAUGAGUCAUACAAAAGAGAAGUAACAUAGAUGAGCCUUUUCAGAGAGCUGAUGGUGCUGUGAAUCAGUAGGGAUUAUUAUGCGAAUGGACUUUUGGACGAAGUUUUGAAUCCUUAGUAGGAACUUCCGGGAACUCCCGAUACAGAGUAAGGUCGUUGUUGGACGACUGAAUGAGAAAUGCCCUGUUUGGCAUACCAUUGAGGUGGCACCGUGGAAUCCCCGCCCUCAAA
rfam:Enterococcus sp. 3H8_DIV0648 scaffold00002, whole genome shotgun sequence.